rnacentral:rRNA from 1 species
UACAGAGGUGGCAAGCGUUGUUCGGAAUUACUGGGCGUAAAGGGCGCGUAGGCGGCCUCCUAAGUCAGACGUGAAAUCCCCCGGCUUAACCUGGGAACUGCGUCUGAUACUGGGAGGCUUGAGUAUGGGAGAGGGAUGUAGAAUUCCAGGUGUAGCGGUGAAAUGCGUAGAUAUCUGGAGGAACACCGGUGGCGAAGGCAGCUCGCUGGGACGGUACUGACACUGAUGCGCGACAGCGUGGGGAGCAAACAGG